AUUGAACGCUGGCGGCAGGCUUAACACAUGCAAGUCGAGCGAGCGGCGGACGGGUGAGUAGUGUCUGGGAAACUGCCUGAUGGAGGGGUAUAACUACUAGAAACGGUAGCUAAUACCGCAUACCAUCAGAUGUGCCCAGCUGGGAUUAGCUAGUAGGUGGGGAAAUGGCGCACCUAGGCGACGCUCCCUAGCUGGUCUGAGAGGAUGACCAGCCACACUGGAACGGAGACACGGUCCAGCCUCCUACGGUAGGCAGCAUUGGGGAAUAUUGCACAAUGGGCGCAAGCCUGAUGCAGCCAUGCCGCGUGUGUGAAGAAGGCCUUCGGGUUGUAAAGCACUUUCAGCGAGGAGGCGUUACUCGCAGAAGAAGCACCGGCUAACUCCGUGCCAGCAGCCGCGGUAAUUC
rnacentral:rRNA from 1 species